rnacentral:rRNA from 1 species
UACGGAGGGUGCGAGCGUUGUCCGGAAUCACUGGGCGUAAAGGGCGCGUAGGUGGCGCGACAAGUCAACGGUGAAAGCUCGGCGCUCAACGCCGAGUCGGCCGUCGAUACUGUUGGGCUUGAGCACUGUAGAGGCUAAUGGAAUUCCGGGUGUAGCGGUGGAAUGCGUAGAGAUCCGGAAGAACACCGGUGGCGAAGGCGGUUAGCUGGGCAGUUGCUGACACUGGGGCGCGACAGCGUGGGGAGCAAACAGG